CCUCCCCCGCCCGCCCAGCCCCACCAGGAAGCCCAGGGCGGACUCGUCGAGCUCCUAAUGCACGCGGCGGCGAGAAAAACGCUCUUCAACUUUCCGCCGGCGCCCUCCCGCGCUUCCCCGGGCCACAGGGUCGCCUGUCAACCGGACAGAGCCCGCAAGAGCGGGUCAUGGGCGGUCGCCCAGCGGCGCCGAGAGCAGGAGGAAGCCGGAGCCCGCGCGGGCGCCGUGGAUCCCCUCGGCCUCCCGUUGGUAUCUUCCAUCUCAUGCGUUCAGCAUUGUAACCUCGCGGCGGGCGUGCAGACCGGACGCCCUCCCGCUUCUUCUACCGACUGCUAGGCACACCAGUGGGUUCAUUUUGAAAGAGGCCCUUGCACCGGGCUUUGCAAGGAAGCCGGCAAGGUUAGAUUGAAGGUUAGAAGCCAAUUAGACUAGAAUCCUGCGAUCUGGUGAGACUGCCGCCUUAAAAUGCACCAAACAGUUUUUGAACCUGGAGGGCUAACAGGCGGGAAAAACAUCUGCAAGACUGCCACCGUGUAUUUUUCUCAAGUAACAGGCUAUCCACAGUUUUGGAAUUCCUUAGUGAAACUGUCACACAGGCACAAACACAUGUCAGCUUUCCUUCUAGUUUGUAAAUAAUAUUUGUAAUUUACAGGCCACUGUAUUCCCAACUUUGCACCAUGUGAUUUAGAGAAAGCAAAGCUCCCUCUUUAAAAAUAAUAUGUUACUUCUGAAAUACCGGGAUAUUCCACGGCAAGUAAGCCAUAUUGUCGCCAGAGCAAAUAAACCGCAGCCCCAUAUCAUAAUUCACUGGGUGCUAUAAGAUGUAACUUGGCUUUGCUUUGAAUGGAAAGAAUCCUGAACGUCUGUGAUGUGAUGAAGUUUUGGAGACUGGGGGCAGGAUUUCCUUUGAAUGUAAGGAAUUCGGAUAACUUGUUCAAGGAUGAUUCUAGUGAAAAACGUUUGUCCCAUGUUUGUUGGGACAAAAAUGCUGGAUAUGGUACAACAUUCUUCCUGCAGGUUCGGUUUUGUUGAAGAGAGUGAGGCCAGCUCGAGGUGAAGGAAAAACAUCAGAAAGGUGCUAAAGUGCAGAAAUAUCUUCCAGAGGCACUAAUAGCCGACUUUAGUUCUUGACCUUUAGCUAGAUCCACAAAGCACUGAGUUAAAAUUGUACACUGAUCCCUUCCAGAACAAAUUAAUUAAUUAAAUGGUGCCUCUUCCCAGCGUUAAUCGUUUAAAAGGACUCAAGUACCCACACAGUUUAAGCAAACUAAAAGAACACUGACACUUUCUCAGAGAACAGGGAUGGGAACUUUCUAUCUGCCCAUUAGUAUCUACCCCAAGCUACGAAGACUUCCAUUCCUCUUAUUAAGCAUUCAGCAACUACAUUUAGUGCCUACUAUGCCAGUGAUGCAAGAAUGGAUAAGACAGUCCCUACACUCAAGGAUAACGCCUCUAGUAGGUGAGAGACAAACCGAUUAAUUCUGCAUAAGGGAUAAGUGCUGUAUGUGGGAAGCAAUCCAAUGAGGGCUCUGAGGAUGGCAAAGGAAGGGUUCCUGGAGGAUUUACAUUUAACUGGUGCCUUGAAAGGUGUGUAGAAGUUGGCAAGAUCAAAAGGGAGUAGAGUCCAGGUGGAGAAGAGAAAAGAGCAGGGCAGGCUGGAUGGCAUGGCUCACACCUGUAAUCCCAGCACUUUGGGAGGCCAUGGAGGGAGGAUUGAGGCCAGGAGUUUGAGACCAGCCUGGGUGACAUUAAAAGACCCUGUCUCAAAGAAAACGAAAGGAGCAGGGUAUAUACAAGGGGUCUGCCAGCCUUCUCAGCCUUUCUGUGAGAAGCGAGGGUAGGGUAGUACAGGAGAGUGGCAGGAGAUGACACUAAAAGUAGGUCUGUGUUGAUCUAACGAGUCUCAACUUUACUGCCAAAACUAAUGAACUAGGAAAGUUUAGGCAGCAAGGGCCAGAGAUGGAGUCUGGACUUGUAUUGCAGAAAGUUCCUGUGACGGCAGCUUGGAGGGUGAAUGAGAGUGUGGGAUGGAGGGGUGAAUGGGUGUGGACAGACUGGAAAAAUGACUCAUGCAGGGAAUGAGGAAGGGAGGAGCCUUGGGAGACUCUCAAAUCCCUGGCUUAGCCUACUGAAUUGCUUGCUACUUGCCUUUUUAUGUCUUCAUUUUGCCUCCCAUUGUCUGUGAUAUUAAAGGCCUAACUUCUUAGUAGAGCAAACUUUGCAUCUGCUAGCAGGUUGGUGCCCUAGCUAGCUUCCAUGCCCCUCUGCUUAGAAUGCCUGCGAACCACUAAGGACUAAUCCUAGUGGUAGAAAUUUAUUUUCAAUUGUUCUCAAACCCUUGUAGAAUUCCAAGUUAGAACUGUAGUGUUCUUUUUUCAUGUGGGUUAGAAAAUUUGCUGUUUGGAGCAACAUGGUGAAACACAGGACUUUUGAACCUGCUUAUGGUGCAAAAGGGGAAAUUAUAUUUCUACUUCAACACUGGAGGAGGGGGGACUUCUGGGAGCAAAAGAGAAAUGGAAACUGAGAUGAGACAUGUUUUUUACUCCAUGACAGAAUACAAAGAAAUACAAGGAUGAUCCUUUAAUGUUAGAAACAGUAGAAUAACCAUCCUGGUAAAUAAAAAAGGAGAAAAAAUGUUAUUUUACAUUAGAUACAGAAAAACAGAAUGGCUAAGAAAACUCACAAAGCAAUGGUCAAUCUAUAACUCGAGUCCAAAUAAAUUGUGAUAUAACACUAAAUUACCACUGAUUUGGCCUAAUUGACUAUCACUGGAUAACAUUAUAACAUGAAUGAUAAUAUUUAAAAUUUUAAAGCACUGUAACAAACACCAGAUCAUGUUAAAACUAUUCAAUCAUGUUGUCAGCUUUCAACUGCCAGUAGCAUCCUAACCACAUUUCAAACUAUGGAAAUUACUAAAAAAUCAUUAUUGUAAUAAAAAGUUAAUAGUUCCUCAUUUAGAAUACCAUUGAUAUUCCCUCAGUGCCAGGAGAACAUUAUGGUUUCUCCUAUUUCUGUGAAGUGUAUAGUCUACAGGUUCAUAAGUGAGUAUAUCCAUGAGUAUAAAAAGAAGGUCAUUUAUGGGUGGAGAGGGAAAUUAUAGAAAACAAUUUCAGAUGAAAUAAACUACAUUUUCAGAUAAAGGAAAGAGUGUUCACUGCAGGUUCCUGAAAUAUUUCAGUCCAUUCAAGUUUUAAUUAUACCAAUGAAUCUCAAUAAAAAUACAGUUAAGGAAUAUGGUUUUUAUAGAUAAUGUCAGCUCCUUGUUUACCAAUAAUAAAGAUAAAGAUAAUGGCA
rnacentral:lncRNA from 1 species